rnacentral:rRNA from 1 species
UACGUAGGGUGCAAGCGUUGUCCGGAAUUAUUGGGCGUAAAGAGCUCGUAGGCGGUUUGUCGCGUCUGCUGUGAAAACCCGAGGCUCAACCUCGGGCCUGCAGUGGGUACGGGCAGACUAGAGUGCGGUAGGGGAGAUUGGAAUUCCUGGUGUGAGCGGUGGAAUGCGCAGAUAUCAGGAGGAACACCAAUGGCGAAGGCAGAUCUCUGGGCCGUAACUGACGCUGAGGAGCGAAAGCAUGGGGAGCGAACAGG